rnacentral:rRNA from 1 species
UAGGGAAUAUUGGACAAUGGGGGCAACCCUGAUCCAGCCAUGCCGCGUGAGUGAAGAAGGCCCUCGGGUUGUAAAGCUCUUUUGUCCGGAAAGAAAAGCUUCGGGUUAAUACCCCGGGGUUCUGACGGUACCGGAAGAAUAAGCACCGGCUAACUUCGUGCCAGCAGCCGCGGUAAUACGAAGGGUGCAAGCGUUACUCGGAAUUACUGGGCGUAAAGCGUGCGUAGGUGGUUGUUUAAGUCUGAUGUGAAAGCCCUGGGCUCAACCUGGGAAUGGCAUUGGAAACUGGGCAGCUAGAAUGCGGUAGAGGGUAGUGGAAUUCCCGGUGUAGCAGUGAAAUGCGUAGAGAUCGGGAGGAACAUCUGUGGCGAAGGCGACUGCCUGGACCAGCACUGACACUGAGGCACGAAAGCGUGGGGAGCAAACA